GAGACACGCCCAGACUCUACGGGAGGCAGCAGUGGGGAAUAUGCACAAUGGGCGAAAGCUGAUGCAGCGACGCCGCGUGAGGGAUGACGGCCUUCGGGUUGUAAACCUCUUUCAGUAGGGAAGAAGCGAAAGUGACGGUACCUGCAGAAGAAGCGCCGGCUAACUACGUGCCAGCAGCCGCGGUAAUACGUAGGGCGCAAGCGUUAUCCGGAAUUAUUGGGCGUAAAGAGCUCGUAGGCGGUUUGUCGCGUCUGCCGUGAAAGUCCGGGGCUUAACUCCGGAUCUGCGGUGGGUACGGGCAGGCUAGAGUGCAGUAGGGGAGACUGGAAUUCCUGGUGUAGCGGUGAAAUGCGCAGAUAUCAGGAGGAACACCGAUGGCGAAGGCAGGUCUCUGGGCUGUAACUGACGCUGAGGAGCGAAAGCAUGGGUAGCGAACAGGAUUAGAUACCCUGGUAGUCCAUGCCGUAAACGUUGGGCACUAGGUGUGGGGGACAUUCCACGUUUUCCGCGCCGUAGCUAACGCAUUAAGUGCCCCGCCUGGGGAGUACGGCCGCAAGGCUAAAACUCAAAGGAAUUGACGGGGGCCCGCACAAGCGGCGGAGCAUGCGGAUUAAUUCGAUGCAACGCGAAGAACCUUACCAAGGCUUGACAUGGACUGGAUCGCCGCAGAGAUGUGGUUUCCCUUCGGGGCUGGUUCACAGGUGGUGCAUGGUUGUCGUCAGCUCGUGUCGUGAGAUGUUGGGUUAAGUCCCGCAACGAGCGCAACCCUCGUUCUAUGUUGCCAGCACGUUAUGGUGGGGACUCAUAGGAGACUGCCGGGGUCAACUCGGAGGAAGGUGGGGACGACGUCAAAUCAUCAUGCCCCUUAUGUCUUGGGCUUCACGCAUGCUACAAUGGCCGGUACAAAGGGUUGCGAUACUGUGAGGUGGAGCUAAUCCCAAAAAGCCGGUCUCAGUUCGGAUUGGGGUCUGCAACUCGACCCCAUGAAGUUGGAGUCGCUAGUAAUCGCAGAUCAGCAACGCUGCGWMWKCUGG
rnacentral:rRNA from 1 species